rnacentral:tRNA from 1 species
GGGGUUGUGGCUCAGCGGUAGAGCACUUGCCUCUUAUAUGCGAGACCCUGGGUUCAAUCCUCAGCACCA